AGAGAGGUUUAAAACUGGAAAAACCGUCAGCCUCCGUGUUGGCGUGAGUCGGUGCAAUUCAUCGGUUUACCUUCGGCGUCGCUGUGAAGGAGGAAGGGAGCGGCGGGUUGUGCUGUUGGUGGGAAGAAGCAAACCUACAGAGGGAAGAAAC